rnacentral:rRNA from 1 species
UACAGGGGGUGCAAACGUUGCUCGGAAUCAUUGGGCGUAAAGCGCACGUAGGCGGUCUGUUAUGUCGGAUGUGAAAGCCCUUGGCUUAACUGAGGAAGUGCAUCCGAAACUGGCAGGCUAGAGUACUAAAGAGGGUCGCGGAAUUCCCGGUGUAGAGGUGAAAUGCGUAGAUAUCGUUUGGAACGCCAAUGGUGAAAACAGGUUGCUGGAAGUGUGCUGACGCUGAGACACGAAAGCCAGGGGAGCAAACGGG